rnacentral:tRNA from 1 species
GUUUUUAUAGUUUAAAUAAAACCUUGGUCUUGUAAACCAAAAAUGAAAUAAUAUUCUUAAAACA